UAACACAUGCAAGUCGAACGAGAACGGAUUUUAGUUUACUAAAAUUGUCAGCUAAGUGGCGCACGGGUGAGUAAUAUAUAGUUAACCUGCCCCAAAGAAGAGAAUAAUUGAUGGAAACGUCUUGUAACUCUCUAUAUGCCUUUAUCACAUAAGUGAGCAAGGGAAACAUUUAUGGCUUUGGGAUGGGACUGUACGGUAUCAGAUAGUUGGUGAGGUAAUGGCUCACCAAGUCAAUGACGCUUAACUGGUUUGAGAGGAUGAUCAGUCACACUGGAACUGAGACACGGUCCAGACUCCUACGGGAGGCAGCAGUGGGGAAUAUUGCACAAUGGAGGAAACUCUGAUGCAGCAACGCCGCGUGGAGGAUGACACAUUUCGGUGCGUAAACUCCUUUUAUAUAAGAAGAUAAUGACGGUAUUAUAUGAAUAAGCACCGGCUAACUCCGUGCCAGCAGCCGCGGUAAUACGGGGGGUGCAAGCGUUACUCGGAAUCACUGGGCGUAAAGAGCAUGUAGGCU
rnacentral:rRNA from 1 species